rnacentral:lncRNA from 13 species
ACAUUGUGUUGUCCCUAGGAGAAAGACAUUGUGUUGUCCCUAGGAGAAAGACAUUGUGUUGUCCCUAGGAGAAAGACAUUGUGUUGUCCCUAGGAGAAAGACAUUGUGUUGUCCCUAGGAGAAAGGCAUUGUGUUGUCCCUAGGAGAAAGAGAAAGAGAAAGACAUUGUGUUGU